rnacentral:rRNA from 1 species
UACGUGGGUGGCAAGCGUUGUCCGGAAUUAUUGGGCGUAAAGCGCGCGCAGGCGGCCUCUUAAGUCUGAUGUGAAAGCCCCCCGGCUCAACCGGGGAGGGCCAUUGGAAACUGGGAGGCUUGAGUAUAGGAGAGAAGAGUGGAAUUCCACGUGUAGCGGUGAAAUGCGUAGAGAUGUGGAGGAACACCAGUGGCGAAGGCGACUCUUUGGCCUAUAACUGACGCUGAGGCGCGAAAGCGUGGGGAGCAAACAGG